rnacentral:rRNA from 1 species
GGACUACUGGGGUUUCUAAUCCUGUUUGAUCCCCACGCUUUCGUGCCUCAGCGUCAAUAUAUGCGUAGUAAGCUGCCUUCGCAAUAGGUGUUCUAUGUCAUAUCUAAGCAUUUCACCGCUACAUGACAUAUUCCGCUUACCUCCACAAUAUUCAAGACAGAUAGUAUCAAUGGCAGUUCUCGAGUUAAGCUCAAGGAUUUCACCACUGACUUACCUGCCCGCCUACGCACCCUUUAAACCCAGUGAAUCCGGAUAACGCUUGCACCCUCCGUAUUACCGCGGCUGCUGGCAC